GACGAACGCUGGCGGCGUGCUUAACACAUGCAAGUCGAACGGAAAGGCCCUGCUUUUGUGGGGUGCUCGAGUGGCGAGCGGGUGAGUAACACGUGAGUAACCUGCCCUUGACUUUGGGAUAACUUCAGGAAACUGGGGCUAAUACCGGAUAGGAGCUCCUGCUGCAUGGUGGGGGUUGGAAAGUUUCGGCGGUUGGGGAUGGACUCGCGGCUUAUCAGCUUGUUGGUGGGGUAGUGGCUUACCAAGGCUUUGACGGGUAGCCGGCCUGAGAGGGUGACCGGCCACAUUGGGACUGAGAUACGGCCCAGACUCCUACGGGAGGCAGCAGUGGGGAAUAUUGCACAAUGGGCGGAAGCCUGAUGCAGCGACGCCGCGUGCGGGAUGACGGUCUUCGGGUUGUAAACCGCUUUCGCCUGUGACGAAGCGUGAGUGACGGUAAUGGGUAAAGAAGCACCGGCUAACUACGUG
rnacentral:rRNA from 1 species